rnacentral:rRNA from 1 species
GUAAGGAAUAUUGGUCAAUGGAGGCAACUCUGAACCAGCCAUGCCGCGUGCAGGAAGACGGCCCUCUGGGUUGUAAACUGCUUUUAUCUAGGAAUAAACCUACUUACGUGUAAGUAGCUGAAUGUACUAGAAGAAUAAGGAUCGGCUAACUCCGUGCCAGCAGCCGCGGUAAUACGGAGGAUCCAAGCGUUAUCCGGAUUUAUUGGGUUUAAAGGGUGCGUAGGCGGCCUAUUAAGUCAGGGGUGAAAGACGGUAGCUCAACUAUCGCAGUGCCCUUGAUACUGAUGGGCUUGAAUGAACUAGAGGUAGGCGGAAUGUGACAAGUAGCGGUGAAAUGUUUAGAUAUGUCACAGAACACCGAUUGCGAAGGCAGCUUACUAUGGUUUUAUUGACGCUGAGGCACGAAAGCGUGGGGAUCAAACAGGAUUAGAAACCCGAGUAGUCC